CCUACGGGAUGCAGCAGUGAGGAAUAUUGGUCAAUGGGCGGAAGCCUGAACCAGCCAAGUAGCGUGCAGGAUGACGGCCCUACGGGUUGUAAACUGCUUUUAUACGGGAAUAACGCGCCUUACGUGUAGGGCUUUGCAUGUACCGUAUGAAUAAGGACCGGCUAACUCCGUGCCAGCAGCCGCGGUAAUACGGAAGGUCCGGGCGUUAUCCGGAUUUAUUGGGUUUAAAGGGAGCGUAGGCUGAGUGUCAAGUGUGUUGUGAAAUUUCCGGGCUCAACCCGGGCCUUGCAGUGGAAACUGGUAGGAGGGAGUGAAGGAGAGGUGGGAGGAAUGUGUGGUGGAGCGGGGAAAUGUUGAGAAAUAAGGAAGAACGCAGAUUGGGAGGGGAGU
rnacentral:rRNA from 1 species